rnacentral:misc_RNA from 1 species
AAGUUGUAACAAGGUUUCUGUAGGUAAACCUGUAAAAGAAUUAUUACUUUUCUAGCUAUUUAAUAGCUUGUCUAGGAGCUGUAGUUUCUACAGUCUUUAACUACAUCUAUGUUUUUUUGCAUACUAUAUAUUUCCUUAGCAGGCUUACUUGCUAGUUAGAUAAACUAAAACUCUUUAUAAUUACAAUUAGCGUCUAAAUUAUAUAAUAAUUACAA